ACAUUCUCGUGCUGCUAUUACUUUUCUGACCAAAAUAUCAUAACUUUGGGAUAUAUUUUAGGCUUUUCUGGUAGAUAGGCACCUGUACCCUUGUAGCAAAAAUAGAAAGAAAGCAGUGAAAGGAAUGAAGGACAAGGGGGAUAAAAAGAGGAAGAAGAAAGAAAGGAAAACCCUCAAAUGAAUCUUCGUCGAAUAUGUCCCGAUGCGGCGAGGCCUGAGCAAAAAUACCUAAGUAACCCAACCUACUCCAAGGCAAUCCUCACCCUAACCUUUAGUUGUCUCGAUUGUAUGGUUAUGCUAACUUCGCUCAUCCCCUUAAGUUAAACACCCAAUUAAUUAAACCAAAUAACUCACUCCUUUCUUCCGAAUAACAGAACAUUAACAUACAUGUCCAAGCCAAAGAAAGAAUGCGAUGUGGGGGAGGGGAUAUUAAAAUAAAUUAAAAUCAUCAUCGAAGCUGAAAAACACCCAUAACAUGAUUACUGGCAAAGGAGCAUGAUGCAGAACUCAGCUUCAAAGGGGGUCUGAGGUCGCCCACCAUAAAAACGGAGAACAACCCCUCCUGGGACUGGAAACAGCGAGAAGAGAGGAGAGAACCCGUUAGAGGACAUAAAGAACUGCCUAUCGACUAUAACAAUAUAACAAAUCUGCUAGUUUAUAUCGAUCUAUUUAAAUUUCCAAGUCACCACACUCUUCUACCACAUUGCAAGCA
rnacentral:sRNA from 1 species